UUGACAUAUACGAGAACGGGCCAGAAAUGGUCAACUCUUUGGACACUNGUAAACAGGUGGUGCAUGGUUGUCGUCAGCUCGUGUCGUGAGAUGUUGGGUUAAGUCCCGCAACGAGCGCAACCCUCGUUCUAUGUUGCCAGCACGUAAUGGUGGGAACUCAUGGGAUACUGCCGGGGUCAACUCGGAGGAAGGUGGGGAUGACGUCAAAUCAUCAUGCCCCUUAUGUCUUGGGCUUCACGCAUGCUACAAUGGCCGGUACAAAGGGCUGCAAUACCGCGAGGUGGAGCGAAUCCCAAAAAGCCGGUCCCAGUUCGGAUUGAGGUCUGCAACUCGACCUCAUGAAGUCGGAGUCGCUAGUAAUCGCAGAUCAGCAACGCUGCGGUGAAUACGUUCCCGGGUCUUGUACACACCGCCCGUCAAGUCAUGAAAGUCGGUAACACCUGAAGCCGGUGGCCUAACCCUUGUGGAGGGAGCCGUCGAAGGUGGGAUCGGUAAUUAGGACUAAGUCGUAACAAGGUA
rnacentral:rRNA from 1 species